CAAAAGUGGAAGUUUCCCUGUGAUACUCUCAUCCAACUCUAGUUGCCAAGUUCCCAAGGCAAGGAGACCAUAUACGGUGCCUAUUUCCAGCUUCCAAAACCCUUAAGAACAGAAAUAGAAUUGGCCCAGAUUGUAUCAGAUACCCGGUCCUGGGACACUCCCGGAAAGAAAUACCAAUUCAUUUUAAAUGGCUGCUUCUUUGGGAAGCAUGCCAGUGAACAGCAUUUCUCAAAAAAGGACUCCUUACUUUUUGGAAAUAUUAUAAUUGAGGAAAAAAUCUGGUGAUAUGUUAAAACAA